rnacentral:antisense_RNA from 1 species
AAUGGAUUGUGUAUGGGCGUGUGAGUAAAACUUUACAAGGUCAAGGGUCAUACAAAAGUCAAGGCUGCAUUAAAGCCAGUCCCACCCAGGCUUAAGGAGAGCUGGAAUGGAGAGGAUUCUCAUCUAACAUCUGGGUUGCAGUUGUAUGUUAACGUGGACUUCCUAGGAAGUAACAUAUCAAACAAAAAGGAAAGUGAUCAACCAGCAGCAGGUACCAGCCACAGUUAACUGCACCUGCUAGGAGCUCUGAAAAGACUUUUUUUUUUUUUAAUGAAUAAAGAAAUUCUCAUUUCACUCUCCUCCACACUGGACUCACUGAAGAAAGAGUAGCUGGCUAGAGGAAGCUAUCCAGAGGGAAGCAGCACAGCGUCUAUGCACAGACAUAGCAAAUAAGAUCAAGUGAACCACGCCACACUUAAGCCUAUGUCAACAAAGGAAUAGAAGCAAAGGAAAAGACUGACAUAGCUUAGACUGGGAAUCCUCCUAGAAAGUAAGAAAGAAUUCAGAGAAAUUCCUCUCUCUAGUCUUGAAGAAAUGAAAGUCUUCAAAAUGAAGAUUGAAGGAGAAAUAUAGAAUAUCUGAACUAAAAAAAGGAAAGA